rnacentral:rRNA from 1 species
AUAUUAUUAAGCGGAGGAAAAGAAACUAACAAGGAUUCCUUUAGUAACGGCGAGUGAAAGGGGAAAAGCCUAAUUUUAAAUCCGUGGCCUUGUGCUUCGGAGUUGUAAUCUUAAAGCGUAGUGUCAGUGAUGGCCCGGGACUAACUUCUCUGAAAGGGGGGAUCAUAGAGCGUUAUAAUCGCGUCUUUGACCUGGAGACCAUUACGUACGACACGCGUUUCGAAAGUAGCGUUGUUUGGGAUCACAGCGCGAAGUAGGAGAUAAGCUUCUUCUAAGGCUAAAUAUCGCCGGGAGACCGAUAGCGCACAAGUA